GGGUUGUGAGGUUAAGCGACUAAGCGUACACGGUGGAUGCCCUGGCAGUCAGAGGCGAUGAAGGACGUGCUAAUCUGCGAAAAGCGCCGGCGAGGUGAUAUGAACCUUUGACCCGGCGAUGUCCGAAUGGGGAAACCCAGUGUGUUCCGACACACUAUCGUUAACUGAAUACAUAGGUUAACGAGGCGAACCGGGGGAACUGAAACAUCUAAGUACCCCGAGGAAAAGAAAUCAACCGAGAUUCCCCCAGUAGCGGCGAGCGAACGGGGAGCAGCCCAGAGUCUGAAUCAGCUUGUGUGUUAGUGGAAGCGUCUGGAAAGUCGCACGGUACAGGGUGAAAGUCCCGUACACGAAAGCACACAGGCUGUGAACUCGAAGAGUAGGGCGGGACACGUGGUAUCCUGUCUGAAUAUGGGGGGACCAUCCUCCAAGGCUAAAUACUCCUGACUGACCGAUAGUGAACCAGUACCGUGAGGGAAAGGCGAAAAGAACCCCGGCGAGGGGAGUGAAAAAGAACCUGAAACCGUGUACGUACAAGCAGUGGGAGCCUCUUUUAUGGGGUGACUGCGUACCUUUUGUAUAAUGGGUCAGCGACUUAUAUUCUGUAGCAAGGUUAACCGUAUAGGGGAGCCGAAGGGAAACCGAGUCUUAACUGGGCGUUAAGUUGCAGGGUAUAGACCCGAAACCCGGUGAUCUAGCCAUGGGCAGGUUGAAGGUUGGGUAACACUAACUGGAGGACCGAACCGACUAAUGUUGAAAAAUUAGCGGAUGACUUGUGGCUGGGGGUGAAAGGCCAAUCAAACCGGGAGAUAGCUGGUUCUCCCCGAAAGCUAUUUAGGUAGCGCCUCGUGAACUCAUCUUCGGGGGUAGAGCACUGUUUCGGCUAGGGGGCCAUCCCGGCUUACCAACCCGAUGCAAACUACGAAUACCGAAGAAUGUUAUCACGGGAGACACACGGCGGGUGCUAACGUCCGUCGUGAAGAGGGAAACAACCCAGACCGCCAGCUAAGGUCCCAAAGUCAUGGUUAAGUGGGAAACGAUGUGGGAAGGCACAGACAGCCAGGAUGUUGGCUUAGAAGCAGCCAUCAUUUAAAGAAAGCGUAAUAGCUCACUGGUCGAGUCGGCCUGCGCGGAAGAUGUAACGGGGCUAAACCAUGCACCGAAGCUGCGGCAGCGACGCUUAUGCGUUGUUGGGUAGGGGAGCGUUCUGUAAGCCGUUGAAGGUGUCCUGUGAGGGGUGCUGGAGGUAUCAGAAGUGCGAAUGCUGACAUAAGUAACGAUAAAGCGGGUGAAAAGCCCGCUCGCCGGAAGACCAAGGGUUCCUGUCCAACGUUAAUCGGGGCAGGGUGAGUCGACCCCUAAGGCGAGGCCGAAAGGCGUAGUCGAUGGGAAACAGGUUAAUAUUCCUGUACUUGGUGUUACUGCGAAGGGGGGACGGAGAAGGCUAUGUUAGCCGGGCGACGGUUGUCCCGGUUUAAGCAUGUAGGCGGAGGUUCCAGGUAAAUCCGGUUCCUUGUUAACGCUGAGGUGUGAUGACGAGGCACUACGGUGCUGAAGUAACAAAUGCCCUGCUUCCAGGAAAAGCCUCUAAGCAUCAGGUAACAUCAAAUCGUACCCCAAACCGACACAGGUGGUCAGGUAGAGAAUACCAAGGCGCUUGAGAGAACUCGGGUGAAGGAACUAGGCAAAAUGGUGCCGUAACUUCGGGAGAAGGCACGCUGAUAUGUAGGUGAAGCCCCUGCGGGUGGAGCUGAAAUCAGUCGAAGAUACCAGCUGGCUGCAACUGUUUAUUAAAAACACAGCACUGUGCAAACACGAAAGUGGACGUAUACGGUGUGACGCCUGCCCGGUGCCGGAAGGUUAAUUGAUGGGGUUAGCGGUAACGCGAAGCUCUUGAUCGAAGCCCCGGUAAACGGCGGCCGUAACUAUAACGGUCCUAAGGUAGCGAAAUUCCUUGUCGGGUAAGUUCCGACCUGCACGAAUGGCGUAAUGAUGGCCAGGCUGUCUCCACCCGAGACUCAGUGAAAUUGAACUCGCUGUGAAGAUGCAGUGUACCCGCGGCAAGACGGAAAGACCCCGUGAACCUUUACUAUAGCUUGACACUGAACACUGGUCCUUGAUGUGUAGGAUAGGUGGGAGGCUUUGAAGCGUGGACGCCAGUCUGCGUGGAGCCAACCUUGAAAUACCACCCUUUAAUGGCUGGUGUUCUAACGUAGACCCGUAAUCCGGGUUGCGGACAGUGUCUGGUGGGUAGUUUGACUGGGGCGGUCUCCUCCCAAAGAGUAACGGAGGAGCACGAAGGUUAGCUAAUCCUGGUCGGACAUCAGGAGGUUAGUGCAAUGGCAUAAGCUAGCUUGACUGCGAGAGUGACGGCUCGAGCAGGUGCGAAAGCAGGUCAUAGUGAUCCGGUGGUUCUGAAUGGAAGGGCCAUCGCUCAACGGAUAAAAGGUACUCCGGGGAUAACAGGCUGAUACCGCCCAAGAGUUCAUAUCGACGGCGGUGUUUGGCACCUCGAUGUCGGCUCAUCACAUCCUGGGGCUGAAGUAGGUCCCAAGGGUAUGGCUGUUCGCCAUUUAAAGUGGUACGCGAGCUGGGUUUAGAACGUCGUGAGACAGUUCGGUCCCUAUCUGCCGUGGGCGCUGGAGAAUUGAGGGGGGCUGCUCCUAGUACGAGAGGACCGGAGUGGACGCAUCACUGGUGUUCGGGUUGUCAUGCCAAUGGCACUGCCCGGUAGCUAAAUGCGGAAGAGAUAAGUGCUGAAAGCAUCUAAGCACGAAACUUGCCCCGAGAUGAGUUCUCCCUGAGACUUUAAGUCUCCUGAAGGAACGUUGAAGACUACGACGUUGAUAGGUCGGGUGUGUAAGCGCAGCGAUGCGUUGAGCUAACCGAUACUAAUGAACCGUGAGGCUUAACCUUACAACGCCGAAG
rnacentral:rRNA from 1 species